rnacentral:rRNA from 1 species
AAGCGUGGGGAGCAAACAGGAUUAGAUACCCUGGUAGUCCACGCCGUAAACGAUGAUUACUAGGUGUGGGGGGACUGACCCCUUCCGUGCCGCAGCAAACGCAAUAAGUAAUCCACCUGGGGAGUACGACCGCAAGGUUGAAACUCAAAGGAAUUGACGGGGGCCCGCACAAGCAGUGGAGUAUGUGGUUUAAUUCGACGCAACGCGAAGAACCUUACCAAGUCUUGACAUCCUGCGACGGUGCUGGAAACAGUACUUUCCUUCGGGACGCAGAGACAGGUGGUGCAUGGUUGUCGUCAGCUCGUGUCGUGAGAUGUUGGGUUAAGUCCCGCAACGAGCGCAACCCUUACUGUUAGUUGCUACGCAAGAGCACUCUAGCAGGACUGCCGUUGACAAAACGGAGGAAGGUGGGGAUGACGUCAAAUCAUCAUGCCCCUUAUGACCUGGGCCUCACACGUACUACAAUGGCUGUCAACAGAGGGAUGCAAAGCCGCGAGGUGGAGCGAACCCCUAAAAGCAGUCUUAGUUCGGAUUGUAGGCUGCAACCCGCCUACAUGAAGUCGGAAUUGCUAGUAAUCGCAGAUCAGCAUGCUGCGGUGAAUACGUUCCCGGGCCUUGUACACACCGCCCGUCACGCCAUGGGAGUCGGUAACACCCGAAGCCUGUAGUCUAACCGCAAGGAGGACGCAGUCGAAGGUGGGAUUGAUGACUGGGGUGAAGUCGUAACAAGGUAGCCGUAUCGGAAGGU